UCCCUGGUGGCUCAGCGGUAAAGAAUCUGCCUUCUAUGCAGAAGAUGCAGGUUCGACCCCUGGUUCGGGAA
rnacentral:tRNA from 1 species